rnacentral:rRNA from 1 species
GCCAUGCCGCGUGAGUGAUGAAGGUCUUAGGAUUGUAAAGCUCUUUCGUUGGGGAAGAUAAUGACGGUACCCGGAGAAGAAGCCCCGGCUAGCUUCGUGCCAGCAGCCGCGGUAA